CCGACAGGCGUAGUCGAUGGACAACGGGUUGAUAUUCCCGUACCCGUGUGAACGCGCCCCUGAUGAAUCACUGGUACUAACCAUCCUGAAGAUUCCUUUUUCCCUUCGGGGGAUUGGGGGUUGGAUGCAUGGGACCUUCGGUGGUAGUAGUCAAGCGAUGGGGUGACGCAGGAAGGUAGCUGGGCCGGCUGGUGGAAUAGCCGGUGUAAGCCUGUAGGGCGAGUGGUAGGCAAAUCCGCCACUCAUAUGGCCUGAGAGGUGAUGCGUAGCCGUUGUGGUGAAUUCAGUGAUCCUAUGCUGCCGAGAAAAGCCUCUAGCGAGCUUUCACAUGGCCCGUACCCCAAACCGACACAGGUGGUCAGGUAGAGAAUACUGAGGCGAUCGAGAUAACUGUGGUUAAGGAACUCGGCAAAAUGCCCCCGUAACUUCGGGAGAAGGGGGACCUUGUCUGGUGAUGAGUCUUGCACUCUGAGCUGGGUGGGGUCGCAGAGACCAGAGAGAAGCGAC
rnacentral:rRNA from 1 species